rnacentral:rRNA from 1 species
GAUGAACGCUGGCGGCGUGCCUAAUACAUGCAAGUCGAGCGAAGCGGGGACGGGUGAGUAACACGUGGAUAACCUCCUAUCAGGCUGGUUUAACUUCGGGAACCCGUAGCUAACCCGGAUACUUCUAGUUGGAUCCGCGCUGCAUUAGCUAGUUGGUAAGGUAACUGCUUACCAAGGCAACGAUGCAUAGCCGACCUGAGAGGGUGAUAGGCCACACUGGAACUGAGACACGGUCCAGACUCCUACGGGAGGCAGCAGUAGGGAAUCUUCCGCAAUGGGCGAAAGCCUGACGGAGCAACGCCGCGUGAGUGAUGAAGGUCUUCGGAUCGUAAAACUCUGGUAUUAGGGAAGCGGUACCGAAUCAGAAAGCCACGGCUAACUACGUGCCAGCCGCCGCGGUAAUUC